AUUGAACGCUGGCGGCAUGCCUUACACAUGCAAGUCGAACGGCAGCACGGGUGCUUGCACCUGGUGGCGAGUGGCGAACGGGUGAGUAAUACAUCGGAACAUGUCCUGUAGUGGGGGAUAGCCCGGCGAAAGCCGGAUUAAUACCGCAUACGAUCUACGGAUGAAAGCGGGGGACCUUCGGGCCUCGCGCUAUAGGGUUGGCCGAUGGCUGAUUAGCUAGUUGGUGGGGUAAAGGCCUACCAAGGCGACGAUCAGUAGCUGGUCUGAGAGGACGACCAGCCACACUGGGACUGAGACACGGCCCAGACUCCUACGGGAGGCAGAAGUGGGGAAUUUUGGACAAUGGGCGAAAGCCUGAUCCAGCAAUGCCGCGUGUGUGAAGAAGGCCUUCGGGUUGUAAAGCACCUUUGUCCGGAAAGAAAUCCUUGGCCCUAAUACGGUCGGGGGAUGACGGUACCGGAAGAAUAAGCACCGGCUAACUACGUG
rnacentral:rRNA from 1 species